UGUCAAAACACAUUUGGGUCAUCUGUGAGCCAGGAAUUGGACCUUCACCAAAGACCAAUUCUGUCUGCACCUUGACCUUGGUCUUGCCAGCCUUGGAACUGGUCACUACUGUCUGCCUCUGGUUCCCAUUCAGGAGGUAGUGGGCUUUGGACUUUUAAAGAAUGAUGGAAAUAGUAAGUAGAAAUAUUUUUUGUACAAAGGCAAUGGAUUCAUCUCAAAUGAAUGCUAGAUAUGAGGGAGAGAAGAUACAAACUAUAACCACCUUUAGCCCUAGUAAAUGCAAAAUCCUUGCACAUCUUGUAUAUGAAAAACUGUAAGAUGUGUACCAAAAAAUCUAUUAGAAUGAAUAAACACCUUCACAAAUGUUG